GGGGCACUUGACCACUGAGCCACAUCCACAGCCCUCUUGUAUUUUAUUUGGAGACAGCGUCUUACUGAGUUGCUUAGUGCCUUGCUGUUGCUGAGGCUGGCUUUGAACUCAGGAUCCUCCUGUCUCAACCUCCCUAGCUGCUGGGAUUACAGGCAUGGACCACCACACCCUGCUCAUUCUCUCUUUAAUCACAAGUCAGAGGACUUGGGCAGGUCACCUUGGGGAGCAAAGUCAAAGUGGCCACCUUCUGGGGAAUGCAUGAGAGAAAACAAGAGGUGGUUUGGGGUUGUCUCCAGACCCCUGGGGCACGGUCCUCCUCCCUCCUUCCUUCUCACUGAGCAUUGAGAAUGCUGGGUGCUAUAGAUACAGCGCUGGAUGGGAUAGAUGCUCAUAGCUCUGUGCCAAAGCCAGAACAGGACAGUAGCUACUGGCUGUUGUCAUCAGAGCUCACCAUUGUUGGGUGCUGGUGAUGAGCCUCAGUUCUGAGCAUGAUUUGUGUUAAUAGUUAAUCCUGACCACAACCUAGGGAGAAAGAUGACUUGGUACAUCCUUAGAAUGGUCCUGGCCAACUAGCUGUGCUUCUCCCCCUAGUACAUGCAGGUUAGCAUGGGCAGGGAUUGGUCAGAUGGAUGCAUCAGGGCAGGUGGACUUGGUGUCUGGUGCAGGAGUAUGGAUACAGAAGGGGAGGGAGAACUGGAAGGAAUUACAGGCUAUGAUCUCUCCGAUGACAGUUGGGGUUGCUGGGUAGAUAGUGUGGUAUGUCCAGGGAUGCUUCAGACCUGACAAGUUAGGGCUUCUUAUGAUUUUAAGAGGCUUCUUAUGAUUGGAAGAGGAAGGCAGCCAUGCCCCAUGGGUAUAGAUGGGUCAUGGAAGGAAGCACAGUGGAUCCGUGUUGCACUUGGUGUGAACUUGAUGCUGAAGUAAAACAUGCAUCAGUUCUGACCCUAUCUUGCUGAGGUGUACACGGAGAAGAGCUGGAAACACUCAGAGCUCUGGUGGCCAUGUGGGAUGGUAGAGGCCAGCUAUCAUGUCAGAAGAGCUCAAGGUUUUUGAAGUACAGUAGCAAGUCAAGAAUAUGUCAUAAGAAAUGUUAAAGUCAAACUGAAGAAAGUCCUCUGAAGUCUGGAGGAUUAAGGCCAGGAACCCAAUCAGAUGUUGGUUUUCUCUGGAGAAGCCGUAGAAAUGCUUAUAAUGGUGAGCCUGGGUCAAAGCUGUUGGUAGAUCUGGGGACAGGUGGGAAUGGGGAAUGCUGACCACCAGGGCUGAGGGAAGACACAAGUUUCCAGGGAGAACUGAGUUCUGGGUAGAUGUAUUCCAAUGCAGGGCAGC
rnacentral:lncRNA from 1 species